rnacentral:rRNA from 1 species
CAGCAGUAGCCGCGGGAAUACGUAGGUCCCGAGCGUUGUCCGGAUUUAUUGGGCGUAAAGCGAGCGCAGGCGGUUAGAUAAGUCUGAAGUUAAAGGCUGUGGCUUAACCAUAGUACGCUUUGGAAACUGUUUAACUUGAGUGCAAGAGGGGAGAGUGGAAUUCCAUGUGUAGCGGUGAAAUGCGUAGAUAUAUGGAGGAACGCCGGUGGCGAAAGCGGCUCUCUGGCUUGUAACUGACGCUGAGGCUCGAAAGCGUGGGGAGCAAACAGGAUUAGAUACCCGUGUAGUCCCUGUCUCUUAUACA